rnacentral:tRNA from 1 species
GUACCCCUAGCUCAGCUGGUUAGAGUGUCGGAUUGUGGUUCCGAAGGUCGUGGGUUCGAGCCCCACUGGGUACC